rnacentral:rRNA from 1 species
UAGGGAAUCUUCCACAAUGGACGCAAGUCUGAUGGAGCAACGCCGCGUGAGUGAAGAAGGUUUUCGGAUCGUAAAGCUCUGUUGUUGGUGAAGAAGGAUAGAGGUAGUAACUGGCCUUUAUUUGACGGUAAUCAACCAGAAAGUCACGGCUAACUACGUGCCAGCAGCCGCGGUAAUACGUAGGUGGCAAGCGUUGUCCGGAUUUAUUGGGCGUAAAGCGAGCGCAGGCGGAAGAAUAAGUCUGAUGUGAAAGCCCUCGGCUUAACCGGGGAACUGCAUCGGAAACUGUUUUUCUUGAGUGCAGAAGAGGAGAGUGGAAUUCCAUGUGUAGCGGUGGAAUGCGUAGAUAUAUGGAAGAACACCAGUGGCGAAGGCGACUCUCUGGUCUGCAACUGACGCUGAGGCUCGAAAGCAUGGGUAGCGAACAGG